rnacentral:lncRNA from 1 species
GUACAAGUUACAAGAAAUUAAUUGUAACUAAUUUUAAUCAACUCUUGAUUUCAGGAAUUCAGUCCAUGAAAAUUCUUUUAUGUAGUCACAAGUAUUUAUUGAGUGCCAAGUAAAGGCUAGGCCCUCUGUUAGGCUCAGGGGAUAGAGUAGGGAAUAAGACAAAUAGUAAACCCUUCUCUCAUGGACUCUGUUCUCUUGGAACUCAAGACUGAGCAUGUCACUCCUUUGUAUUUCUAUUGCACUACUCACUUUUUUUGGGAAAUCCCCUAUGUAGCCAUGAAGACAACAAGUAGUUACGAGGCAGAGCAAUAAAUGUGAAAGAGGCUGUAAGAGAUGCUAUUGUUGCCGUCUCCACUCCCUGGCUGGUAUAUGCUUUCCUCAGCUGCUGCCAAUGCUAAGCUAAUGUCUUACACUUGACACCUAUUUUGGAAAAUGGCCCUUGGCUAUUGGAAACUACCUGUCCUGGGGAUUGCUGAGAGGUUGCCAUCUACCCGCUUACUUCUUGGAGUAAAAAUAGAUUUCAGCCAGCAGAAGAAAAUGGGGGAGAAAUGAAGUCAGAAGAAUCUGUGCAAAGGAUCUCCAUAUAAAUGGUGAAUGUGACUGGAGCAAGUUUGGAGGAUGUGUGCUCUGGGAGAUGAGCCUGGAUGGAGUAGGGGAUAAAUGUUUUUCAGUGAGACAGGAAGUCAUUUAAUACUAUCCUCAGGCUCCAGGAAUUUUAUCUGGGAGAUUUUGAAGAGAUUAUGGAGCCAUCUGCGUAUGCCCAGAAGCAGUAAUAAUAAUAGCAAGAGAACCUGCCUCAGCUUUGGUGGCUCUUUCUUUUUCAAAAGUGACCUGACUGCAGUCAUUGCCUUUACUGAUUAGUUAUAGUUCUUUAUCUUCUUUCAAACUGGUAACAAGGGGGACAAUGCUUCUCAAUACUCAUUUAGGGUAUGGUAAAAAUGAACGUUUACUGAAGUAAACAGUUGAUAUAGGCUACUUAAUGGGCUUAUUCAGUAAUUAGUGUUCAUGAAAAAGUUGAGCCAGUU